rnacentral:rRNA from 1 species
AUGUGUCCGCCGGAACCCAGCUGCCACUCGGCGCUGCUCGUCGACCUCGUCGUCAACGAAAUCCUCAUCCGCUGCCCGCCGGACGAGCCGGAGCGCCUCGCCCGCGCCUCCCUCGUGUGCAAGGAGUGGCACCGCGUCCUGGACGACCCCGACUUCCGCCGCCGCUACGGCGAGUUCCACCGGAGGGCGCCCCUGCUGGGAUUGCUCCACGACUACGGCGUCCUCUCUGAUCACCCCAUCAUCCAGUCCAGAUUUGUGCCCACCACGGCCUUCUCCACGCGGACGCCCCUGCACCGCAGGUUCCUGCUCGACUCACGCCACGGUCGCGCCCUCUAUGGAACCUACGUCCCGCCGCGAGCCUGCUUGGGCCAAGGUGGACGACAAGGACCCCAUCACCGACGCCGGCCGAGUGGAGGGUUCCGUUUCCCACCAGCACCAAGAGCUUGCUCUCUGGCGGCUGGAAUGCAGCAGUGCUCUGCGCCGCAGACGGCUGCGACCACGCCGUUGGUUGCCGGAGCAGCCCCUUCCUCAUUGCCGUCAUAG